rnacentral:lncRNA from 1 species
UCUUCUUCUCCUUCACACACUUUCCCAUUAAUUCCUAUCACAAUUUUGCUUAUUUCUAUUUUCACCUUUUUCUUCACUCUUUUUAAUUUCUUUUCAUCUCCAAGGUCUAUCACUAAUUUUCAAUUAUCCAGUCAAGGUAAUUUCCUUUCAUUUGCUUCAUUCAUGACUAUACAAUGAUUGUUUUUUAUAUCAGCUACUGUUAUAGCAGCUUGCUUUGUAAGAUGGUCAAGAUAAUAAGAUCUGCAGCAAUGGUUUCCUCUAGUGAUUAUCAACAGUUUUAGAUUUUAAGACAGGAUGAUCAGCAGACAUAAUCUACUAUAGAUACAGAUUAAUACGAAAAGAGCUAUGCUUUGUAAGAUAGUCAAGGUAAUAAGAUCUGAAGCAAUGAUUUCCUCUACUGAUUUUCAAUUUUAAGACAGGAUGAUCAGCAGAUAUAGUCUACUAUAGAUACAAUUUAAUACGAAAAGAGCUACCCAGAAGCAAUAUAAUGUUGAAAUCUCAUGCUGUUGAACAUUUUACCUCUUCAUAUUCUGUAAUGAACUCUUGCACACUUGAAUCUAGCAUGUUGUAUAGUUUGAGGGAUUGAUUCUGGAUAUACAAUGGUGACCAGAAUUUCAUCAUGUUUCUGUCUGCCACCCAUCCAUAGCUCCAUCUAAUAGACGCCAUUGCUUGAAACUUGCAUUCAUGAUUUCCUUUUCAUGCUUACACCGACAUAUCAAUACUUCAUAAAAUAUCCAAUUCAUUCACAGAUUUUCAUUCUCUGCUACUGUUAUAUAUGAUUGCAUUACAGGGACAAAGCAAUGGAGUACGUAGAGCCUGUUGUCGGCAUUGCAAAUUGUCUCGGAACUCCUGCUUGUAAGUAUUUUAAAAAAAUACUUAUUGCAUUGAUUGUUGAUUGCAAAUUGUCUCGGAACUCCUGUUUGUUAUAUAUGUUUAAUUCAUAGAUGAUAUGGGUACAAGACAUUAUAAUGAUGCAAUAGUUUAAAAGAAAGUAAAUAGGAGGAGUAAAAUUGUGGAGGGAAAAUAUUUAAAAAAAAAUUGAAGGGGGGAGGGUUUGGGGUAGAUGAGAGGUGGGAUGGGAAGGGAAUAAAAGUUUUAGGGGAAAAGUGGGAGGGAGUAAAAAUUUUGGGAGAAAAUAAAAGGUUUUGAGGGUUUUGGGGAGUAAAAUUUUGAGAAAAAGUAAAUGGGAGAGUAAAAUUUUGGUGGGAAAUGGAUUUUGGGUAGAUUGGGGGGUUGGGAGGGGAGUAAAAGUUUUGGGGGGAAAGUAGGAAGGAGUAAAAGUUUUGAGGGAAAAGUAAAAAGGUUUGGGAGUUGGGGUGAAAAUGUAAAAUAUUAUAGUUUGAUAUUCGAAUUAUUCGAAUUAUUAGAGUUAUUCGAAUUCGAAAACUCAACUCGAUUCGAACUCGAAAUUUGAAAAAAAAAUCGAGUUGAUUCGAAUAACUCGAUUAACUAGAAUAACUCGAUUCGUUUAACUCGAAAUCCGAAUUUUUUUUAAAUUUUUUCGAGUAGAAUCGAGUUUUGCUCACCCCUAAUAUAUAUCCUGAACUUGAGUUGUCAUAUUCUAAUAUUUCUUUGCUCAGUAUUUACUUGAUUGUAUACAUUAGAUUUGCACCCGAAGUAAUAGUUUUAGAAUACUUGCAGUAAUAGUUUGUCUUUCAACUUCAUCAACUAAUCUUUUAAAGUUAUGUGUAUCGAUUGCGGUCGUAAAUCAACUAAAAAUCUAAUUAAGGUAAAUGUACUUAUCAAUUAAUAUUAUAGUUACGAUGAGCAAAGAUAUCGUUCCCACGAGGGCUAAAAGUGCUAGUUAUUAUUGUCUUUCUUUUAUUUAACCGACAAAUUGGAGUGAUUGAUUAAAACUAAAAUUAACUAAAUUAAUUAACUAAAGAACAUGACAAAGAACAAAUUAGAAAAAUAAACGAUUAACAACCAAAAAAAGUGAGACAAUACCUAGGAAAGAACCCACCUAGACUUCAUCUGUCAUUAUCAAUCUAAAUCACGCAAUUUCUUCACUUACUAUCUUGAUCCGUAGAAAUCCCUAAAUUAUGCUAACAUCUCUCUUCAAGACUAACAACAACUAACUCUAGAUUGAUUAAUUGAAUUUUCUUUCUAAUUAAAACCCCUAUUAUCGUAUUAACUUGAUUUAUGGAUCAUUCUAUUAGAUUUGACUCUAAUCCAGUAGAUUUAUGUUGUCCUAUUUUUAGGAUUGCAUGCAACUCCACUCAAUUACGCUAAAUCUACUCUUAAACAGGGUCUAUUCCUCCUCUGAUUUAAGCACAUAAUACAUGAAUCAAUAGUCUAAAAACAUUAUGAAUUAAGCACACAUAAUUGAGAACAAAAUCUAAGUAUUUAUUGCAUAAAAAUUGAAAUCAAAUAAUAUAAUCCAUCCUAAGGUUUAUCUCCCUAGGUAUUUGGAAAAUUAGUACAUAUAGUAAAUAAAAACAUCCCAUAAAUAGCAUAAUUACAAGAUAUAAAGAAACUCAUAAUAAACUUCAAAAAAAUCAAAAGGACAACUUCAAUCUUGAUGGAAAUAUACUUCAAAGUCGGCUUUAAUAGUAUUUUUCGAGUUAUUUUCUUCAAUAUUAUAUGACAACUCACUCUGCUCCUCUUAUCUUUGUCAUAUAUAUAUUAGAAUGCUCGAAAAAUCUAAAAAUUACAAUUUUCUGCAUGUUUAGAGUGCAAUUUGCGAUUUCCACACGAUUUGGCACAUGAUCGUGUGACAGCCUGUGUGGCUCACUCAACUGUGUGUCCAGACCGUGUGCAAUGGCCCAACCCUUGUGGCUCCUGAAACUUGCUCCAGUUUUUCGAUUUUCGCUCCUUUUUGCUUCUAAAUUCUCUCUUAAGUAUAGAAACAUGAAUUCAAAGUAUUAGAAGCAUAAAAUUUACCAUUAACACAUUUUCUCUGUAUAUUUAGCAUAUAUUCAAACUUCGAGGCUCUACUUUGGAGUUUAGGUUCAAAAAUAUGAACCCAUGUUUUCAAAGGUCUAAUUUUUCCAUGAACUGCUGGAAAUGAAAAGAAAAAACAAAUAUUUAAAAAAAUGAAAAAGAAAAAUGAAAAUAUAGUUUAAUGAGACUUACAUAAAUCCCGAGAUUGAGAAAAUGAUUGUCUAAAGAGAAGCAGAAAUUUGGCCGUCCAAGCCAUCUUAUUCAGUUCACCGAUGCAAGUUUCUCCGCUUAGCCGCCGCUGCUCUGAAAAUGAUGAAGGACUAAUUAGUUUAACAACAGUACCAGUACGAUGUCGUAAGGACGUAUCCUACGUGGCAGUCGUGUCAUCUAGCUAAGUCAAACUACGACGCUACAGUUGGACUUCGAUUUCAGUUGGGUUUGGUUUCUUAGCUGGAGUUCUAUUUAAACUUGGGUUUUGUUUUUGGUUAAAUUACCUUAUUAGUUACUAAAUUAUAGGUUGCUUUUGUUUUGUUCACUUAACUAAAAAAAAUUACAAUUUGGUUACUGAAGUAUUCGAAUAUUUUCAUUUAAGUCACUAAAACAAGAUCUUUUUAAAUAAGAAAUAAAUAUUUUUUAUAGAGAAAUUUUAUAUAUAUAAAAAAUGAAAUACUUUAAUUUAAAAGGACAUUUUGUUUAAUCACUUUAAUAGCUUUUGGAGUGAUGAAAAGUCUAAUUUCACUUUGCACCUAAAAUGAUUUUUUUGGUAAUUUUCUUACAGAGCUGGGACUCAAUUGAUGGUUUACGCCAACUCAGUAAAAGGCUUUAACACAGUAUAGAAAAAAAAAGUUUUUAACUAAAAUUUUUAAAAGAAUUUAGGGUAAACUACACCAAUCAUCCAACUAUAAUAUAGAGAAAUUUUGUAGGGUUUAAAAAUAAUUAUCCCUAAUUUUCUCACUUUAUUUAUUUUUAAAAUUUUUAUUUUACUUUUAUUUAUUUUUUAAUUUUAUAAUGUUCUAAAAUUUUAAAAAUAAUUUCAACUUUUUAUCAUUUUAUAUAUUAUCAAAAUGAAAUUCACCGAAAGUAUACAAAUUUAGGACUAAAAUUUUUAUUAAAUCAUUUAAAAAGUUCCACUUAACAGUUGAGUGACAAAAAAAUAAUAAUUUCAAAAAAAAUUAGUGGUGAAAUUGUAACUUUUUUUAAUUGAGUGAUUAAAACAAAAAAUAGCAAUAGUUUAGUGACUAAUAAUGUAACUUUUUUUGGUACAAUGAUAAUUCGAAAUUUGGCUAUUCUUAAAAAGGGUGAACAUCGGAUCAUAUUUAUUCACAUAUUACAAACAUCCAUAAGUAAGCAAUUCUCCCGAAUUAAAAUCAAAUUUUAAUAUUAACAACUUCAACAACUCAUAAAUAGGAAGAUAAUAUGUUUCGGUACACUUGAAACCACAUCCUUCUACAUUAACAACAAUUACUAUGACAAUGAAACUAAGACUCAAUUCACAAUGAAUAUAUAUUUUUGUUAUACCUAAUUAAAGUCAUUUACCAGUAUAUUAAACAUUCUUAUACCCUAGUUUCCCAUACUUUCCCAUUAUUGUCGUGAUGAUGAUGAUGAUGUUACAAUUGAGCACCAAGAUCACUGUAAUACUUGUUUUAAUUGGUAUAAUAAUAAUUUUAAUCUUUUUUUUUAUAUUUUAUAAUUAUAAUUUUAUACGAUACCGUAAAUUAAAUUGAUAAUAAAAAUAAUUAUAAUGCUAUCUGUAAUGGAAGACAGCAAAGAAAAAGGCUAAAAGAAAACGUAAUAAAAAUAGGAUUCCUUGCUAAUAAUUCUGCCUCUGUGGAUCCUACCAGAGACUUCAUAAAUUCCCUGUUUUUAUCUUCACUUUCUUCUUACUUCUUCUUCACUGCUUUUAAUUUGUUUCGAUGUCCAAGGUCUAUCACAAAUUUUCAAGCAUCCAGUCAACGUAAUUUUCUUUCAUUUGCUUAAUUCAUCACUUGCUUUUCUUUGCUUUUGAUUAUCUGCUACUGUUAUAGCAGCUAGCUUUGUAAGAUUGUCAAGGAACUCAACUUCACUGCUUCCUUUUCAGUUCUAAUCUCUCUACACUUUUCAGCCACUAAGUCAGGUAAUAAGAUCUGAAGCAAUGAUUUCCUCUACUAAUUAUCAACAAUUUUAGAUUUUAACAGUGGAUGACCAGCAGACAUAAUCUACUAUAGAUAGAAAUUAAUACAAAACAGCUACCCAGAAGCAAUAUAAUGUUGAAAUCUCAAACUGUCAACAUUUUAACUCUUAAUAUUCUGUAAUGAACUCUUGCACACUUGAAUCUAGCAUUUUAUAUACAUCGAGAGCUUGAUUCUGGUGAUCAGAAUUUCAUCAUGUUUUUGUCUGCCACCCAUCCAUAGCUCCAUCUAAUGGACGCCAUUGCUUGAAACUUGCAUUCAUGUUUUCCUUUUCAUGCUUACACUGACAUAUCAAUACUUCAUACAAUAUCCAAUUCAUUCACAGAUUUUCAUUCUCUGCUACUGUUUUAUGAAGAGAAAGAUAAAAGUGGGGGUGGGAAAGAAGGAGGGGGGAGGAUAGUGCAAAAGAGAGGAGAAAAGGAAUGAUGGAAGGAAGAGGUUAAGAGCAUAAACUGCCCCCAGUUUUUAAACCCCUUUGGAAGGAUGAAAGGUAUGAACCAUUAUAGUUUAGAGAAAGAUGAAAGGGUUGGUGGGAAAGGAGGAGGGGGGAGGAUAGUGCAAAAGAGAGGAGAAAAGGAAUGAUGGAAGGAAGAGGUUAAGAGGCUCCACGUUGUAAACAUUAACCCUCUCUUACAAUUCCUUCUAUUCUCUUUUUAUAAUGUAAAAGCUGAAGAGGUAAAAAAAUAAAUAAAUUUGCUUCAUAUUUUUUCUAUGUUUGUUUUGAAAGAAUGAGUGUUGAAUAUAGAUAAUAUAGAGAAAUUUUGUAGGGUUUAAAAAUAAUUAUCCCUAAUUUUCUCACUUCUUUUUAUUUUUUUAAUUUUAUAAUGUUUUAAAAUUUUAAAAAUUUUCGACGGUGGCCA